CCUACGGGAGGCAGCAGUGAGGAAUAUUGGUCAAUGGGCGAGAGCCUGAACCAGCCAAGUCGCGUGAGGGAGUACUGCCCUAUGGGUUGUAAACCUCUUUUGUCGGGGAGCAAAAGCCGGACGUGUCCGGCUGUGAGAGUACCCGAAGAAAAAGCAUCGGCUAACUCCGUGCCAGCAGCCGCGGUAAUACGGAGGAUGCGAGCGUUAUCCGGAUUUAUUGGGGUUAAAGGGUGCGCAGGCGGAUUUUUAAGUCAGCGGUCAAAUCGUGGGGCUCAACCCCAUCCAGCCGUUGAAACUGGGGAUCUAGAGUGUGCGAGAGGUAUGCGGAAUGCGUGGUGGAGCGGUGAAAUGCAUAGAGAUCACGCAGAACCCCGAUUGCGAAGGCAGCAUACCGGUGCACAACUGACGCUCAGGCACGAAAGCGUGGGUAUCGAACAGGAUUAGAUACCCGAGUAGUC
rnacentral:rRNA from 1 species